CUGUGUUAGGUUGGUUUUGCUCAGCAAUUUUAGCCAAUGUCCAAAAUAUUUUGGCUUGGAGAAACCAUGGAGAAAAUUGAUCAUAUGCAGAAAAAUAGUUGGAGUAGCACUUUGAUCAUGAAUUGCACACUGGCCUGUAUCCAAUACUGUGACUUACAACAAAUGUAGAUGGUUGAAGCUAUGUAUGGGACAAUGUAAAGAAACAUGAAUUUCAGCAGGGUGAAUACACAGCCAGUGCAGAGAUGCAUCCACUUGUUUAGCAUGGUUUCCAGGACUGUUAGUUUUAUGCAUUGGUCUUGAAGUAACCUCUUGGAAAAAGAAGUCAGGAACCUGAAGAGAGGUGAGCCAAAAAGUACUUGUGCAAAGGGUGCUUUGGACAAUGAAAGUGAAUAGAUAUUAUUCUGUCAAGUUUCACAGAAUCAUAAAAUCAUAGAAUGGCUUAGGUUGUAAGGGACCUUUAAAACCAUCCAGUUCCAACUUCUUGUAAUCAACAGGGCUGCCUCCCACCAGAUCAGGCUGCCCAGGACCCCAUACAACCUGACCACGAACACCUCCAGGAAUGGGGCAUUCACAGCAUUUCUCAGCAUAGUUUUUCACCACCCUCUGAGCAGAGAAUUUUCUUUUAAUAUCUAAUUUAAAUGUCUCCUGUUUUAGUUCAAAAACAUUGUCACUUGUCCUGCUACUAUCUACCCAUGUACAAAGUCAAUCUGUCUUCUUUAUUAGCUCCCUUAAAGUACAGAAAUGCUGUAAUAAUGUUUUCCUGCAGUGUUUUCUUCCCCAGGCUGAACAAGCCCAGAUCCCUCAGACUUUCUUCAAGGAGAGGAGUUCCAGGCCUGUGAUCAUCUUUAUGGCUGUACUUUGGACCCACUCCAACAGCUCCACAUCAUUCUCAUGCAGAGAAGUUGCUCUUUGUAGAAGGAAUUUUGCUCCACCAGCCCCUUCCUAGAGGUUCAGGGAUGUGAGAGGUUGUCUGCGAGUGCAUCUGAAACUGAACUGCUGGAAUUAAUGUGGUGGUGCUAUGGUUUAUGCAUGUGAAGGCAAUGAAGAACCUUACCAGUGUUCUGUGUAUGUGUGAACUAGGAUGUUAGUGGCCAAAUGAUAACUGAUGACCAUUAAAAAUGCAAUUCCCUCUUCUGAACUGAACCAGUCAUGAGGUAGCUUCCUCCCUGGUUUUAAUGCAAUAAUUAAAGGUGAGAGUUGGAGGGUCACUACAAUGCCCUGCACUAUGCAGUCGGUUGCAGAUGGCCUUUCUCUUACUGGAGAAGCUACACAUUCUGAGAGGGAACAGUUCAAAUGCAGAACUCCUAGGAACUGUGUUUGAUGUGUAUUUGUUUGUUUUUCAGUUUUUCAACCUCAUCAUUUGACAGUAAAAGUAUAGCCAAAAUCAUUUGUGUUUAAAAAAUAAACCUCUGAAGGGAAAUGAGCUGCGUGCAUGUAAUUUGUUAGUGGUAACAAACAUGAAUUCUAAAUCAAUAGAUCUCUUCUUCAAUUCCAUUCUUCAAUCUAAUGCUCACUUUUGAGAGGUUCUGAGGUAUUUUGGUGAGGAAGAAUACAUUACCAGAAGCUUCUAGUUGCUUAUUAAUGGUUGCUGAAAUUCUCUGCCAUUAGUCUUAAUCUCUCACUUAACCAGCGGGAAUACCUGCAAACCUACAACUCUGUUGAGUGGUUAGUUUAAAUCAUGUAUUUAAUCCUUUCCAAAUGAAUACUGAAUCAGUUUGUCUUCUGCAGUGGAGUGCACUUGGCUUAAUGAAACUGAUUUAUUUGAAUUUGGCAAUUAAGAGAAAAUCAGGACCUGUUCUGCAAUUGGAGAUGGAGGAAUUUAAAAGCCAAACAAUGGAGAGGACUGCAGAGCUCAGGUGUGUUGGAAUGGCUGACAGUAUAGUUAAAUACAUGUCUCUUGGGUUUAAAUCCCUUGGUGCCUUAUGGUAUCCUUCCAUCAUCAAAAAUGCUGCAGAUCAGAACAGGGAUAAAACUAUUCAGCUAGAGGCUGUGACAACAUGCCUUGCCAAUUCUACAGCAGCGACAACAGGGAAAAAGGUUCAACUCUCUAAAAAAAACCAUAAAGUUAGAAGAUUAUUUAAAGAAACAGAAGCAUCUUACUGCUCUACUCCUGAAAGAGGUUACAUAACAGUUACAGAGUAACAAACAGGUAUGGAUUGCAUUUAAAUUAAAUUUAUAACAAGAUAUUAAUUAAAUAAUAAUUCAGAUAAUGUCUGAAUUUGUGGAGAAGCAAACUUUCAAGUUCCCUCUGAUUUAUAGCUCCCCAGCACAAGAUUCGUAUGGUAGAUCUUGUUUACUGUCAUGUUUCUGGGACAGCAUGGGUCCCAGGUUGGAUCUGUUUAACAAACAGAAUCUCUGGGUUUGUACAUCAGUUAGAGUACAGCAUCAAUAUGGUGAAAGCAGAUCUUGUUAAAGGUGCUUUCCUCAAGAAAGGCAAGGUGUUGACAUAGGUUGUUUUGCUUAGCAAUAGGGAUUAGUAUAUUAGUUUAGGAACCAAGAUAUAUUUUAAAUUCCUAGUUUAGGAAAAGAAAUCCCUAAGUGAGAGCUCUAAAACUUUCAGCUUUAGUGGGUGAACAGUCUUGAUUUUCCUCAACAGUUUUGCACUGGGAACAUAAUAGAAUACUUUUAUCUUCUGCCUCAAUGAUUUUGCCUCAUGAGAAGUACUGGAGUCACAAUAGAAUACUUUUAUCUUUUGCCUCAAAACAUGCAAGGACAUUUUCCUCAGGUUCUACAUACACUGUUUUUAAAAAGUGGAUCCACUAUGGCCUGAUAAGCAACUGAAAUCUUCCACAGUGGGGAAAAGUGAAUGAAAGUGUCAAAGGGUUCGGUGAUGAAGCUGAUGGUGAAAAAAGGGGAAGAAGUAGGUGGGCACUUGACCACCCUAAAUACCACUGAGCAUGCCCAAAGGGACAUUAGCACAUACCUAAGAGACUUUGAAAAAGAGUGAAUAUGUAUGCCAACGUACUGUGUAUGUAUUUCUUAACUGUUUAAAUGUAGAACCUGAACUCUGAGAGCAUGCUUGCUUGUCAAGUCACCUGGUACAUACUGUGAGGAAUAAAGGAAUGCCACUUUCUAACA